rnacentral:lncRNA from 1 species
GAGAAGCCGCCGCAGCAGCAAACGCAGGAGCUGAGAGAACAUCCAGGGCCGGCAAGAUGCAGAUCUUCGUGAAGACGCUGACGGGUAAGACCAUCACCCUCGAGGUCGAGAGCAGCGACACCAUCGACAAUGUCAAGGCCAAGAUCCAGGACAAGGAAGGUACGCGCGCGCGUUCUUGCUUCUCAGCUCGUUUUUCUAGCAAGGCUAGCAAGUAAAGCCAGAGCUAAGCGGUUUUGGUUUGUUCCGUUCGUAGGAAUCCCGCCGGACCAGCAGCGUCUGAUCUUCGCCGGGAAGCAGCUGGAGGAUGGCCGCACUCUGGCGGACUACAACAUCCAAAAGGAGUCCACGCUCCACCUCGUGCUCAGGCUCCGUGGUGGAAUCAUUGAGCCCUCGCUGCAGGCGCUCGCUCGCAAGUAUAACCAGGACAAGAUGAUCUGCCGCAAGUAAGCUACCGCCCCCACCCUCACCUCACCUUGUUAACAUUUCUAUGACCCCCCAAAUAGAAACUUUGUUCUAUUCAGUGCAAGAUUUUUCGAUUAGAUGUCAUCCCAAACCGUAGCCACGAGAAUUAUUCAUAGGAAACUCUACAUGAUAUGUGGAUAGAUAAUCACAUGGGCAUAUGCUUGUGUUGGGAUUCUUGUGUGCAAAAAGUUUUGUAGUCUAAUGCUAGUAGGAAAUGGAAAUGAACAAUUUAGCAAACAAAGUGCAACUUCAGUACUGUGCUUUCCAUUUUAACGUGCACACACCUCAAUCAAAUGCGUAGACCAUGACACCACCAGAGUUACCUAACCUUGCACAGCCUUCUUGAGUUGAACCUUAAAGCGAUUAUACAAAAAUUCCUAAGGUUUUGCCCCUGUGGUAUGCACUCUUAGUUCAAAAUGUUUCUUGCUUGAGCAUUUGCUGAGUAUUGCCAGCCGACCUCUGGACAUGGCUUCCAAUGUAUUUAAGCAUUUAUCAUUUCUUUGUUCAAUUUUACUCUGCAUUUUACCAUGACCUGAUUCUUUUUGUUCAUUAGUAUUGAGGCAGUUCUCUGACUUGCCAGUUUAGUUUUCUGUCUUUUGUACAAGGAUGGUAAACCUGUUACACUCUUGGCCCUGUUUGCUUACAUUACACAGUAUAAGGGUUUUAUAUCAUGUAAUGCAAUUUUGUCGUUUACUUCUUGUGUUCUGUGAGUACACUCCUAUUACUGUUGACAUGUGAGGUUUUUAAGGUGCGCUGCACUUUUGAUGUUGGGUUUUGAUAUUUAUGUGAGUGAGUUUUUUUUUUGGAGAAAAGCGAAUGGAGUGAUGAAUUAAUUAGAUGCGAGAAGUGACCUUAUGAACUGAAACUUUGAGGCAUAAAUUCUAUCUGACUUGUCAAUUUACCUGUCCUAUUCCACUCAAGUGAGGGUGCUUGGUUCCUUUUUCUUUUUUGGUAUGACAGCAACAUAUAUAAAAUAACUUGCCUUUUGCAGUUUAAGUUUACCCCUGUGUCAAAUGUUCAUCGAUUUUGGUAGGAGAGAUCAAUAACUUGCUGGAUCUAUAAAUUUAUCUAUUGUGCUUAGACCUUUUGACUUGUGAAGCACACCAGAUGCUAUUUGCAACUUUCCUCACUGUGUUUAAUUUCCAGUCCCAGUUACUGUUGUAUUGUGUCCUGUUAGCUCAUUGAUGUUCUUCCAUUUGUCUGCAGAUGCUACGCGCGCCUGCACCCCAGGGCUGUCAACUGCCGCAAGAAGAAGUGUGGUCACAGCAACCAGGUGAGCUUUAUUGCAAAUCGUUGUGCCUGUAUCUAGGAUAGCCUUGUGCUUGUUCAGCGCCCUACCAUUUUGAAAGCGAAGAUGUUCAAGCGAAGUCAGUCUGAUCUAAUGUGAUUUCUGUUGCUUUUCUCCUUUCAGCUGAGGGCCAAGAAGAAGAUCAAGAACUGAGGUGAUGUUGCUGCUAGUCAGUUCCAUGGACCAUUUAAACCAUCUGUUGUAGUGGUGUACCGAAUGUUAUGUUGCGUUGUUGUCUGGAUGUUGAACUUCUGUUGCGCCAAACUUUUCCGAUGUCGUGAUGUUUUACCUUGUUGUCGAUGGUGACAGU